GACAUAGCGACGGCUGCCUCCGAUUUAAGCCUCCUGUCCCGCUCUGCGUGCACCGCAAACUGACCGACUGCAAGGCGCAAACAACACUGCUGCUCAGCCGCUGCCGAACGCCCCGGAGACGACAGGAUGAGUUCUCGUGUUCUGAAGACUAUAGAUGGGAAGUAUCCACAAGUCAUGCAUUUUGAAGACGGACCGAGACUGUGUGCUGUUGACCGACAAGGUGAACAAACUGUUGGUCAUACAGCAAAUGUUACGUAUCACCAGGACAACUCGAUCACUUUCACAUUCAGUAAAACCGACAACAGCGUGACGACAAAAUACAUCCUGCAGGCCACUGAAUCCUCCCUGAAGCUGGUUCCGUUGGAUCAAGUGGACGGUUUCCCAGAGGCUAGCUUGUUUGAGAAGGAUGGACACGAAGCAUUUUACAACGUGAGAACUAAGGGCAAACCCCAGAAAUACAUCUGCAUAGAGAAAUCCAGGGGAAUUUUCAUCCUCAGCGUCAACGUUAAUGCUACUCGUGCUUUAGUCGCAGACGAGGCUAAAUAGAGGCAUUCACCAACAACCUUCUACACAUGCAGACACUCCAGUCUUCCUAAUCUGCUCUCUCUGUGGACCAAACAGACAAUGGACUCAUUCAUCCCUCAUUCUCGGUUGGAUCCUUUCUUUGGCUGAACUCAAGCAGAACUCUCACUGUUGUCUGAGGACCGUCAGAGUUACUGGUCUGGAUGGUCUGGCUGCACUCGUUUGAUUCUUGCUAUGGGGAAAUGCUGCAGUACUGUGUUUUACAUAAAUCACAGCCCUGCUGGGUGGCAGCAAACACUUAGCUCCUUCAGCAUGCUGUGGGGGGUGCAAAGGGACGACAAUACUGUGUGACAUCUUUACUAUAAUGAUUGUAGUGUAUGAAUAUAUGUGUCUGUAUUUAUGUCUGUAUUUUUCCUCAACAUGCAUGCACUGUUUAAAAAAAAAGAUUUAUUUAAAGAUUUAUUAUAAUUGAUUUAUUGUAACGUCAUUAAAAUUUUUCUCUGUGAUGACUUUUCGUUGACUUAAUGAGGAAUGAAGCAUUUGAAAAAGCACCAGAACAAACAGCCGUAGGGCCCUGCUGUGGCUCAGAAACAGUGGCCACACUUUAGUUUAACCGUGACGCCCGAGUGAAGGGUAGCAGACCUUCCACAGCAGCUUUUUCUCAGAGGUCUGCUGUGGUUUCACAUCACUGACCGCAGAACCUUCGAACAGCACACAGACAUGUUCUGCUUCACAGAUAUUUGAUGAGCUUCUGGUUUGCUGAGAACCUUUCACAUGUGUCAGCACCUUCAUUGUGUUAUAUGAGUUGUUACACACUGCUUUAAAAUUCCCAGUUGGUGCUGGAAAAAGA